GACGAACGCUGGCGGCGUGCUUAACACAUGCAAGUCGAACGAUGAAGCCGGAGCUUGCUCCGGUGGAUUAGUGGCGAACGGGUGAGUAACACGUGAGCAAUCUGCCCUUGACUCUGGGCUAACUGCGGGAAACUGUAGCUAAUACCGGAUACGACACCUUGGGGCAUCCCAGGGUGUGGAAAGAAUUUGGGUCAAGGAUGAGCUCGCGGCCUAUCAGCAAGUUGGUGAGGUAAUGGCUAACCAAGGCGACGAUGGGUAGCCGCCCUGCGAGGGUGACCAGCCACACUGGAACGGGGACAAGGUCCAGACUCCUACGGGAGGCAGCAGUGGGGAAUAUUGCACCAAGGGCGAAAGCCUGCUGCAGCAACGCCGCGUGAGGGAUGAAGGCCUUCGGGUUGUAAACCUCUUUUAGCAGGGAAGAAGCGAAAGUGACGGUACCUGCAGAAAAAGCACCGGCUAACUACGUGCCAGCCGCCGCGGUAA
rnacentral:rRNA from 1 species